rnacentral:sRNA from 2 species
UCCGCCGUCAUUGGGGAGUAGCCACCCGCCGGCAUUCGGACCGGGCGGGGUUCGCGUCAACAGACUUGGAUGGUUCCGGCCUCCGGCCGUUACCGCCAUGGCGCGCACGGCGGCCAGCGGGCCGAC